rnacentral:rRNA from 1 species
UGGGGAAUAUUGGACAAUGGGCGAAAGCCUGAUCCAGCCAUGCCGCGUGUGUGAAGAAGGUCUUCGGAUUGUAAAGCACUUUAAGUUGGGAGGAAGGGCAGUAAAUUAAUACUUUGCUGUUUUGACGUUACCGACAGAAUAAGCACCGGCUAACUCUGUGCCAGCAGCCGCGGUAAUACAGAGGGUGCAAGCGUUAAUCGGAAUUACUGGGCGUAAAGCGCGCGUAGGUGGUUCGUUAAGUUGGAUGUGAAAUCCCCGGGCUCAACCUGGGAACUGCAUUCAAAACUGACGAGCUAGAGUACGGUAGAGGGUGGUGGAAUUUCCUGUGUAGCGGUGAAAUGCGUAGAUAUAGGAAGGAACACCAGUGGCGAAGGCGACCACCUGGACUGAUACUGACACUGAGGUGCGAAAGCGUGGGGAGCAAAAGCAGGAUUAGAUACCC